rnacentral:rRNA from 1 species
UACAGAGGGGGCAAGCGUUAUUCGGAAUUAUUGGGCGUAAAGGGCGCGUAGGCGGCUUUGCAAGUGACGGGUGAAAUCCCUCGGCUUAACCGAGGAACUGCCUGUCAGACUGCAUGGCUUGAGACCAGGAGAGGUGAGUGGAAUUCCCAGUGUAGCGGUGAAAUGCGUAGAUAUUGGGAGGAACACCAGUGGCGAAGGCGGCUCACUGGACUGGUACUGACGCUGAGGAGCGAAAGCCAGGGGAGCAAACGGG